GGAUUUGGGGCGGCCUAACACAUGCAAGUCGAGCGGUAGAGAGAAGCUUGCUUCUCUUGAGAGCGGCGGACGGGUGAGUAAUGCCUAGGAAUCUGCCUGGUAGUGGGGGAUAACGUUCGGAAACGGACGCUAAUACCGCAUACGUCCUACGGGAGAAAGCAGGGGACCUUCGGGCCUUGCGCUAUCAGAUGAGCCUAGGUCGGAUUAGCUAGUUGGUGGGGUAAUGGCUCACCAAGGCGACGAUCCGUAACUGGUCUGAGAGGAUGAUCAGUCACACUGGAACUGAGACACGGUCCAGACUCCUACGGGAGGCAGCAGUGGGGAAUAUUGGACAAUGGGCGAAAGCCUGAUCCAGCCAUGCCGCGUGUGUGAAGAAGGUCUUCGGAUUGUAAAGCACUUUAAGUUGGGAGGAAGGGUUGUAGAUUAAUACUCUGCAAUUUUGACGUUACCGACAGAAUAAGCACCGGCUAACUCUGUGCCAGCAGCCGCGGUAAUACAGAGGGUGCAAGCGUUAAUCGGAAUUACUGGGCGUAAAGCGCGCGUAGGUGGUUUGUUAAGUUGGAUGUGAAAUCCCCGGGCUCAACCUGGGAACUGCAUUCAAAACUGACUGACUAGAGUAUGGUAGAGGGUGGUGGAAU
rnacentral:rRNA from 2 species